GUGGAAGCCAUUCCUACAACAGAACAACCUGCAAAUGAACGCAAGCUACCAAAGCAGAUCUCAUUCAACACCAACUAAAUGUUUUCCUUGUUGACUCAGUGGUAAAGAAUUGCCUACAAUGCUAUUCAAUCCCAAGUUCAGUCUCUGGGUCAGGAAGAUCCCCUGGAGAAGGAAAUGGCAACCCACUCCAGUCUUCUUCCCUAGGAAAUCCCAUGGACAGAGGAGCCUGUAAAAGUUAACGGAAAACUACAAUAAUACAAGAAGAACCAUCAAGAGAGCACAUUCUUCAGGAAGAAGGCUUGGGUCAUUCUACCAGAGAGAGAAUUCUGAACAGCUAAAUGCUGGCUGACAACAAAAGGAAGAUGGGACAGAUAGCAGAAGAAGGAAGCUGCAAUCAUCAACAGAGGGCUGGUUGCAAAAAAAUGUAGCAAAUAUGCAU
ensembl:lncRNA